CUUCGCCGACUACAUCCACACCUUUGGGAACCCCUGGACUGCUGGGGCUGGACCCCGGCAUAUGGCGCCUGAACAGGCCGAACAGGAUUCCCCUAGGUCUGCUCCGGGGAAACCUGCUAUGGCGCUUUGAGUUGCCAAGCUCCGCGCUACCCUGAGGUCGCGGUGGCCGGUCUCCCAGUUUAGCGCUCUCAGACGGCAACGCCAGCCCCUUCUCUCUCAGCCGUCACCGUCACCGAGUAUCAGACCUUGUGAAUCUGGCGCAUCAGAAAGCGCAGCGGCUCUUCCACCUGAAAAGCCCACUGAUCGGCACCUGGAGUUGCUUCGUACUUUUACUUGGGAAAGAUCCGCAGACUGUGCUGCUACCGCGCCUGUGCGUCUCCCAGGGAUUCUCCUGCGUCUCUUCAUUCGGGGCCCGAGGAGACAUCACCCCCAGGAAGGCUCGCUGAUCUGCCUCAAGUCGCGCAGCCAGUGAGUGGGGAAGCCAGCAUUUGGACCUGGCUCUAAUUAGAGCCCUUAUCCCAUCCCCUCCCCCCAACUACAUUUUGUUUUAAAAAUUGCUCUUGCUAUUCCCACCUUUAAAACCUACCUUGGUUUCUCCUAAAGUUUAGGACCUAAACCAACCGUACAGACCUCCCCACUCGGGACCCACCUGCCUGUCCAGCCUCAUCACCCCGCUCCCUACACGCCCCUCUUCUGCCCCGAAAGCCACCUCCAGUCCCUCCCUGACCCCUGACUGCUCUCCUCUCCGUUACCUCUUCUUCAAAGUCCAAAUCCU